rnacentral:rRNA from 1 species
CCUACGGGAGGCAGCAGUGGGGAAUAUUGCGCAAUGGGCGAAAGCCUGACGCAGCGACGCCGCGUGAGGGAUGAAGGUCUUCGGAUCGUAAACCUCUGUCAGCAGGGAAGAACGGUCACUGUGCUAAUCAGCAGUGCAUUGACGGUACCUGCAAAGGAAGCACCGGCUCACUCCGUGCCAGCAGCCGCGGUAAUACGGAGGGUGCGAGCGUUAAUUGGAAUUACUGGGCGUAAAGCGCUCGUAGGCGGUAUGUCAAGUCAAGGGUGAAAUCCCCGCGCUCAACGGGGGAACUGCCUUUGAAACUGGCAAACUGGAGUGUGUGAGAGGAUAGUGGAAUUCGAGGUGUAGGAGUGAAAUCCGUAGAUAUCGGGAGGAACAUCAGUGGCGAAGGCGACUAUCUGGCACAUAACUGACGCUGAGGAGCGAAAGCGUGGGUAGCAAACAGGAUUAGAUACCCCUGUAGUC